GCACCCGUAGCUCAAUUGGAUAGAGCAUCUGGCUACGGACCAGAAGGUUGCAGGUUCGAGUCCUACCGGGUGCACCA
rnacentral:tRNA from 1 species